AGGACGAACGCUGGCGGCGUGCCUAACACAUGCAAGUCGAACGCGCUCCAUUCGGUAGCAAUACUGAUGAAGAGUGAGUGGCGAACGGGUGAGUAACACAUGAGCAACCUGCCCCGAAGACUGGGACAACACCGGGAAACCGGUGCUAAUACCGGGUAUCCCUAUCGGACCGCAUGAUCUGAUAAGAAAAUGGAUUCCGCUUCGGGAGGGGCUCGUGGCCUAUCAGCUAGUUGGUGAGGUAACGGCUCACCAAGGCAUCGACGGGUAGCUGGUCUGAGAGGACGAUCAGCCACACUGGGACUGAGACACGGCCCAGACUCCUACGGGAGGCAGCAGUGGGGAAUCUUGCGCAAUGGGCGAAAGCCUGACGCAGCAACGCCGCGUGGAGGACGAAGGCUUUCUGAGUUGUAAACUCCUUUCAGCAGGGACGAUUGUGACGGUACCUGCAGAAGAGCACCGGCCAACUACGUGCCAGCAG
rnacentral:rRNA from 1 species